AUUAGAACCCACAUGUCCCACUUAACAUUACAAGCUGUAUAAAAAAUUACAUAAAUAAAUAAUGCACAAUAUUUUUACUAGAAUUGAGAAUUUUAGAGCAAAUCAAAUCAAAAUUCAAAUGAAAAAGUUAAUGCAAAUGCCACUAGAAUUAUUGGACAUAAAGAUAAAUCAAAAUUUAACAGUAAAAACCAUUUAAAAAGAUCUGUGUUUUUUGCUGUUGAGCCAUCAAACUGAAUGAAUGUGCUGCUGAGUCCCUCAACUCCUCAAUGUGGUCUCACUGAAUGCUAAAACACACCAUUAUAUGUGAGUGCUUACUGCUUACUCAGUACUCACUAAGCAUGCUAGCUAAGGCUAACAUUAAAAAAAUUGUGUAAUUGAUGUAAUAAAUUAAUCUUUUCCACUCUUCUUUCUUCUUCUUUUUUUCCCCUUUUUCUCAAAUCAGCAAAUAAACAAACUCAUGUGCAUCUUUUAUCAUACAUUUUCUUGCAACAUGAUCAGGUAUUAUCCAAUAUUUACGUUUUAGAGUACAUUGGCACUGCUGAGGACCAAAUCAAGGAGUUGAUGGCUCAAUAAAAUACACUUUGAAUUCAAGGGCUCAAUAGCAAACAUAAGCACUGAUUGAAUAUGUUUCUAAAAAGAAAGGUCUAUCUUCCAAAAUAUACGUUCAGCACAAAUCAGCUACUAUUGACACAAGAAGUAACACUGAAUUUCAUUUACAAUAUUGUGAUAAAGGCACAAUAGUGCUAGGGUGCAAAUGGAGACUUCAUGAUUAGAAUCCAACAAUAUUCUAAUCAGAAAAAUGAAGAGAAAGGUGAAAAAUGGGAGAGGAUAUUGGACAUUGUUAUUAAAGCCGUGCCUCAAGCACGCCUCAGGCUCAA
rnacentral:misc_RNA from 1 species